rnacentral:tRNA from 1 species
UGCGGGGUCGUCUAAUGGUAGGACAGCGGCCUUUGAAGCCGUGAACGAAGGUUCGAAUCCUUCCCCCGCAGCCA